GACGAACGCUGGCGGCGUGCCUAAUACAUGCAAGUCGAACGCAGUGGGGACGGGUGAGUAACACGUGGGUAACCUCCCAUCAGAGGGGAUAACACUUGGAAACAGGUGCUAAACCGAUACUGAUGGAUGGACCCGCGGUGCAUUAGCUAGUUGGUGAGGUAACGGCUCACCAAGGCCACGAUGCAUAGCCGGCCUGAUGGGGUGACCGGCCACACUGGGACUGAGCCACGGCCCAGACUCCUCCGGGAGGCAGCAGUGGGGAAUCUUCGGCAAUGGACGAAAGUCUGACCGAGCAACCCCGCGUGAGUGAAGAAGGUUUUCGGUUCGUAAAGCUCUGUUGUUAGAGAGGCGGUAUCUAACCAGAAAGCCACGGCUAACUACGUGCCAGCCGCCGCGGUAAUUC
rnacentral:rRNA from 1 species